rnacentral:sRNA from 1 species
AGACAUCCCCCACAUCCCAUUCACAUUAGUCCUGCAACCUUCAGGAAGAGAACGGAAAAAUAUCCAACAAAAGUAAUUAUAUCUAUCUCAAAUUAACUACUAUAUCUCUUCCGUCGGCGAGAUUGUAUAGUGCGUCGCAUUUCCCCGCCCCUCCUGCACGAGCCUAUCUUUGCACAACGUGUAGCGGAGACCAUUUCUCGCGCGCGAAUUAAGGAAAAGCGGAAAAGGAUACAACCACCCACAUUGCUCCCUUAAAAUAAUCCAAGUCCACGAUCCUCAUCUAUAUCCAACCCAUAUAUAUUAUAGGAGAAUAUAAUUUUACUCGCGUCUCGGCCCCUUCCCAAAUGUCACCGCGGAAAUCCACAUCCUCCGUCGCAGAGGCCAGCAGCCAUGAAGAAGAACAGCAAGCGGCGGCGGAGAGCUCAAAAACAGCCGGGAGCGGUACAGACCCUAUCGAGACCGGCGUGAAUGUUGAGGAUUACCUCCUCCCGCGAUCUCUCACGCAACGAUUGGCAAAGAGUGUUUUGCCUCCGAACACCUCGAUACAGAAAGACGCGUUGUUAGCAAUCUCCAAGGCCGCUACGGUAUUCGUUUCAUACCUCUCAUCACACGCAAACGAAGAGACCGAAAAGAAAACCAUAACCCCACAAGACGUCUUCGCCGCCCUCUCCCAAAUAGAAUUUGACGCCUUCCUCCCGCGCCUCGAGCGCGAACUAGCCGUGUACACUGAAGCAGCUGCAGAGAAGCGGAGGGGCAAGAAGGAUCGCAAAUCUGGCGCUGCUACUACGGCUGCGACGAUGGGGAUAGAAACAGGUGCCGGUGCAGUAGGAAAUGUAGGCGCCGCUUCACCUGCGGAUGGGGCUGGAAAUGUUGAGGAUGGGAUUGAGCCAGGUGCUAAGCGUCUAAAACGGGGUGGAGAGGGUGCAACAGAGAUGGCA